rnacentral:rRNA from 1 species
UGGGGAAUUUUGCACAAUGGGGGAAACCCUGAUGCAGCGACGCCGCGUGAUUUAGAAGGCCUUCGGGUUGUAAAAAUCUUUUUUACGGGAUGAAAAUGACAGUACCGUAAGAAUAAGGUCCGGCUAAAUACGUGCCAGCAGCCGCGGUAAUACGUAUGGACCGAGCGUUGUCCGGAAUCAUUGGGCGUAAAGGGUACGUAGGCGGCCUAGUAAGUUAGAAGUGAAAUAAUAUAGCUCAACUAUAUAAAGCUUUUAAAACUGCUAGGCUUGAGAGAUGGAAGGGAAAGUGGAAUUCCUAGUGUAGCGGUGAAAUGCGCAGAUAUUAGGAAGAAUACCGGUGGGGAAGGCGACUUUCUGGUCAUCAUCUGACGCUGAGGUACGAAAGCGUGGGUAGCAAACAGG